UGGUAAGCUGAAUCUAUACAUACAUAUACAUACGUAUAUCUUCUUCGCCGUCUAGAAUCUACUUUCCAGGCAAAAAAAUUGAGGCAGAAAAUCAAACGGGUAGAAGAAGGUUUUUGGUCGAGAUUGGAGUCUCCAAUAAGACAAUUUUAAACAGUGUUAAGAUGGAGGUUGCGGAUCGGAGAUGUUUUUGGAGAAGAUUUCGAUAAUGAAACGGUGAAGAUGACAAUCACGGACUGACGUUUCCAGUUGAUGGAGGAUGUUUCCCUUGCAAUUAUCGAUCUUUCAGUUUGACCUUGAGAGAAAGAAUGAGAGAGGGAGGAAGAGGUGAAACUGUGAAGAUCAUAAGAAACCUCAGUUUCUGAGGUUUUUGUCCGAGAAGAAGAAGAAGAAGAUGGCGGAGACUGUACAUGCUCCGAUCGUUACUUACGCAUCGAUGCUUUCGCUUCUCGCCUUCUGUCCACCUUUCGUCAUUCUCCUGGCUGUUGGUGAGCCUGCGUUUGUCAUUGUUGUAUUUGAUGAGUGGAAAUGCUGGAUUCAUAUAGAAGCUUAAAGGAACAACAACGAAAGAUGAAAUGCAGAAGCGGAGUGGCAGGUUGUUGGUCUUCGGUGGAAGGUGUCUCUGAUGUCUCUAAGGCCUGGGUUUGGGGAUCAACUUCAUUACAGUCGAUUGAUGCCUGAGGGGGUGGUUUCUGGACUUCACUGACAACCCGAGACACGGCUAUAGAAAUGGAGUUUAAGAAAAUGUCACGGAGAGAAAAGAAACAUGAGAAUAGCAAUAAAGCAUGAGGUAUAGGGGAGGGUGAGGCUAAGCUGUUGCAAACCUGAGAGUCAAUCAACUCAGUGACUCCAAUGUUUAUCAAUUGGGUGGUGGUUUCAUCAAGCAUCACGAAAAUUGUUUUGUCUUUACCGUCCCUGACAACCAGCUCCACCCGAUACUUGACCACACCAAUAGGCUCACCAGAGCAACGUUUGCAAAUUAGAGAAGGACCGGAUUCCACAAGCUUUAACCCACACUUGCCACAUGCAACGUAUUUCCACCCACGUUCAACCACAAUCUCUUCAAUGCGAUUUACCUCCAUUAAUAGUUGGUGGUACACCAUCGGGAAGUGAGGAGCUGUAAUUUGAGAGGAAUAUAUUGUCAGACAAAACAUGUUCCCCAACAACAUCUGGAAGGUGAAUACUUGUUAGAGGAUGAGCAGAUAAAUAUAUGAGCAAAUUAUCAUGUUGAUAGACCUAAAUAUCGAGGUAACACUACCAGGUAAAUGUUGAUUAGUUCCAGCAAGAGUCCACAAUUCGUUUUGUUGUCGAAACCGAAACAUCUCAUGUGGAAUCACGGCUGUGUUUCCUUCUAUGGAUGUAAGGAUGGUGCCAUCCAAGAACUUAAUGACGUAGGGAUGAUCUGUUAGUCUGUAUUGUGGAUAGCUAGUAUCCACUUGGAAUUCAGAAAUAUUGUAGAUGCUCCCCUCGUGAAGGUCAUCCCUGAAGCGGUAAACUCGGUAUUGGGGUAUUGAAACUUGAAUUAAGGUAGACUGCAUUACAUUUUCUUCCUCUGUUAAUCUUAAAAAUAUAGAAGAUAGAAGGCUAUAUAUAAAUGUAUGGAAGUUGUAUACCUGUUCAUCAAGUAGGAGGAAAUCUAGGCUGAUAAUUUUGCCAUUUUGAUGGAAAGCUUUUGCAUGCCAUUUACGUAGAAGGCGACCACACACAACCUGAGGAACACGUCCUGGCUGAAGGUCCUUCAAUGGAAUGGUACUCAUAAUUGGUAAUGUUGAAGGUCGUUGUAAUGAAAAUAUGGAAAGAUGGGUAAUUUAUAGAAGGAGCUGAUAUGUAGGAUUUGUUUUAAAAAAUUUUGUAUCGGGAAUUAAUGAGUGACGAUUUGAUUACAUUUAAGGAGAUCAUGGAGGUUUUUAGAAUAUAUGAAUUCCUAACGUUUA